rnacentral:misc_RNA from 1 species
GAUGAAGAACGCAGCGAAAUGCGAUACGUAAUGUGAAUUGCAGAAUUCAGUGAAUCAUCGAAUCUUUGAACGCAUAUUGCGCUCUCUGGUAUUCCGGAGAGCAUGCUUGUUUGAGUAUCAGUAAACACCUCAACUCCCCUUUCUUUUUUGAAAUGGGAGCUGGACUUGAGUGAUCCCAACGCUUUUCUCACCGAAAAGUGGCGGGUUACUUGAAAUGCAGGUGCAGCUGGACUUUUCUCUGAGCUAACAGCAUAUCUAUUUAGUCUGCCUAAAAACAGAUUAUUACCUUUGCUGCAGCUAACAUAAAGGAGAUUAGUUCUUGUGCUGACUGAUGCAGGAUUCACAGAGACAGCUUCGGCUGGCCUUUGUAAACUCGAUCUCAAAUCAAGUAAGACUACCCGCUGAACUUAAGCAUAUCAAUAAGCGGAGGA